rnacentral:rRNA from 1 species
GACGAACGCUGGCGGCGUGCUUAACACAUGCAAGUCGAACGCUGAAGCUCAGCUUUUGUUGGGUGGAUGAGUGGCGAACGGGUGAGUAACACGUGAGUAACCUGCCUCCUUCUUUGGGAUAACGCCCGGAGACGGGUGCUAAUACUGGAUAUUCACUGGUCUUCGCAUGGGGGUUGGUGGAAAGGGUUUUUCUGGUGGGGGAUGGGCUCGCGGCCUAUCAGCUUGUUGGUGGGGUGAUGGCCUACCAAGGCUUUGACGGGUAGCCGGCCUGAGAGGGUGACCGGUCACAUUGGGACUGAGAUACGGCCCAGACUCCUACGGGAGGCAGCAGUGGGGAAUAAUGCACAAUGGGCGCAAGCCUGAUGCAGCGACGCCGCGUGAGGGAUGGAGGCCUUCGGGUUGUGAACCUCUUUCGCUCAUGGUCAAGCCGCAACAAUGGUUGUGGUGAGGGUAGUGGGUAAAGAAGCGCCGGCUAACUACGUG